rnacentral:lncRNA from 1 species
UGCAUUAGAAUUCACGACUAUGCCACAUUGUAUUGUUGUGAUAGAUGAUAGUGGAUGGACAUUAGGACGAUUCAUUAGCCUUCUGAAUACGAAGUCCUGUGGUGCCCAUAAUAGGGCCGGGCAAUACGAAGUCCUGUGGUGCCCAUAAUAGGGCCGGGCAAUAACUCCGAGUACGAAGUCCUGUGGUGCCCAUAAUAGGGCCGGACAUGGAGUUGAGGGAUUUUUGAAUCAGUCCAUCCGUGGUGUGAUUUGUUUGUGC